AGAGUUUGAUCCUGGCUCAGGACGAACGCUGGCGGCACGCUUAACACAUGCAAGUCGAACGAGAGAAGAAGAGCUUGCUUUUCUGAUCUAGUGGCGGACGGGUGAGUAACACGUGAGCAAUCUGCCUUUCAGAGGGGGAUACCGAUUGGAAACGAUCGUUAAUACCGCAUAACAUAAUUGAACCGCAUGAUUUGAUUAUCAAAGAUUUAUCGCUGAAAGAUGAGCUCGCGUCUGAUUAGCUAGUUGGUAAGGUAACGGCUUACCAAGGCGACGAUCAGUAGCCGGACUGAGAGGUUGAUCGGCCACAUUGGGACUGAGACACGGCCCAGACUCCUACGGAGGCAGCAGUGGGGAAUAUUGCACAAUGGAGGAAACUCUGAUGCAGCGAUGCCGCGUGAGGGAAGAAGGUUUUAGGAUUGUAAACCUCUGUCUUCAGGGACGAAAAAAGACGGUACCUGAGGAGGAAGCUCCGGCUAACUACGUGCCAGCAGCCGCGGUAAUACGUAGGGAGCGAGCGUUGUCCGGAAUUACUGGGUGUAAAGGGAGCGUAGGCGGGAUCGCAAGUCAGAUGUGAAAACUAUGGGCUUAACCCAUAAACUGCAUUUGAAACUGUGGUCCUUGAGUGAAGUAGAGGUAAGCGGAAUUCCUAGUGUAGCGGUGAAAUGCGUAGAUAUUAGGAGGAACAUCAGUGGCGAAGGCGGCUUACUGGGCUUUAACUGACGCUGAGGCUCGAAAGCGUGGGGAGCAAACAGGAUUAGAUACCCUGGUAGUCCACGCCGUAAACGAUGAUUACUAGGUGUGGGGGGACUGACCCCUUCCGUGCCGCAGCAAACGCAAUAAGUAAUCCACCUGGGGAGUACGACCGCAAGGUUGAAACUCAAAGGAAUUGACGGGGGCCCGCACAAGCAGUGGAGUAUGUGGAUUAAUUCGAAGCAACGCGAAGAACCUUACCAGGUCUUGACAUCGUAUGCAUAGCUCAGAGAUGAGUGAAAUCUCUUCGGAGACAUAUAGACAGGUGGUGCAUGGUUGUCGUCAGCUCGUGUCGUGAGAUGUUGGGUUAAGUCCCGCAACGAGCGCAACCCUUACUGUUAGUUGCUACGCAAGAGCACUCUAGCAGGACUGCCGUUGACAAAACGGAGGAAGGUGGGGAUGACGUCAAAUCAUCAUGCCCCUUAUGACCUGGGCCUCACACGUACUACAAUGGCUGUCAACAGAGGGAAGCAAAGCCGCGAGGUGGAGCGAACCCCUAAAAGCAGUCUUAGUUCGGAUUGUAGGCUGCAACCCGCCUACAUGAAGUCGGAAUUGCUAGUAAUCGCAGAUCAGCAUGCUGCGGUGAAUACGUUCCCGGGCCUUGUACACACCGCCCGUCACGCCAUGGGAGUCGGUAACACCCGAAGCCUGUAGUCUAACCGCAAGGAGGACGCAGUCGAAGGUGGGAUUGAUGACUGGGGUGAAGUCGUAACAAGGUA
rnacentral:rRNA from 1 species